rnacentral:piRNA from 1 species
UUGCAGAGGAUCCAGUAGGCA